rnacentral:rRNA from 1 species
ACGCUCGACACCUACGGGAGGCAGCAGUCGGGAAUAUUGCGCAAUGGAGGAAACUCUGACGCAGUGACGCCGCGUAUAGGAAGAAGGUUUUCGGAUUGUAAACUAUUGUCGUUAGGGAAGAAAAAAGACAGUACCUAAGGAGGAAGCUCCGGCUAACUACGUGCCACAGCCGCGGUAAUCUGAGCGGGCUGGCAAGGC